rnacentral:rRNA from 1 species
UACGGGGGGAGCAAGCGUUGUUCGGAUUUACUGGGCGUAAAGGGCGCGUAGGCGGCCACCGCAAGUCAGUUGUGAAAGCUCUGGGCUUAACCCAGAAAGGUCAGCUGAUACUGCGGGGCUAGAGUGCAGAAGGGGCAACUGGAAUUCUCGGUGUAGCGGUGAAAUGCGUAGAUAUCGAGAGGACCACCUGCGGCGAAGGCGGGUUGCUGGGCUGACACUGACGCUGACAGCGCGAAAGCUAGGGGAGCGAACGGG